rnacentral:rRNA from 1 species
GAUGAACGCUGGCGGCGUGCCUAACACAUGCAAGUCGAACGAAGCACCUUACCUGAUUCUUCGGAUGAAAGUUUGGUGACUGAGUGGCGGACGGGUGAGUAACGCGUGGGUAACCUGCCCUGUACAGGGGGAUAACAGCUGGAAACGGCUGCUAGUACCUCAUAAGCGCACGAGGAUACAUCUCCUUGUGUGAAAAACUCCGGUGGUACAGGAUGGGCCCGCGUCUGAUUAGCUGGUUGGCAGGGUAACGGCCUACCAAGGCAACGAUCAGUAGCCGGUCUGAGAGGAUGACCGGCCACAUUGGAACUGAGACACGGUCCAAAAUCCUACGGGAGGCAGCAGUGGGGAAUAUUGCACAAUGGGGGAAACCCUGAUGCAGCAACGCCGCGUGAGUGAAGAAGUAUUUCGGUAUGUAAAGCUCUAUCAGCAGGGAAGAUAAUGACGGUACCUGACUAAGAAGCGCCGGCUAAAUACGUG